UCGGCCCUACGGGGGGCAGCAGUGGGGAAUAUUGCACAAUGGGGGGAACCCUGAUGCAGCGACGCCGCGUGAGUGAAGAAGUAUUUCGGUAUGUAAAGCUCUAUCAGCAGGGAAGAAAAUGACGGUACCUGAAGAAGAAGCCCCGGCUAACUACGUGCCAGCAGCCGCGGUAAUACGUAGGGGGCAAGCGUUAUCCGGAUUUACUGGGUGUAAAGGGGGCGCAGACGGCGAUGCAAGCCAGGAGUGAAAGCCCGGGGCCCAACCCCGGGACUGCUAUUGGAACUGCGUGGCUGGCGUGCCGGAGG
rnacentral:rRNA from 1 species